rnacentral:rRNA from 1 species
GUGGAACUCGGAUCAGUGGCGCACGGGUGCGUAACGCGUGGGGAUCUACCAUAGGGUACGGAAUAACUCAGAGAAAUUUGUGCUAAUACCGUAUAAUGUCGCAAGACCAAAGAUUUAUCGCCCUUUGAUGAACCCGCGUAAGAUUAGCUAGUUGGUGAGGUAAGAGCUCACCAAGGCGACGAUCUUUAGCUGGUCUGAGAGGAUGAUCAGCCACACUGGGACUGAGACACGGCCCAGACUCCUACGGGAGGCAGCAGUGGGGAAUAUUGGACAAUGGGCGAAAGCCUGAUCCAGCAAUGCCGCGUGAGUGAUGAGGGCCCUAGGGUCGUAAAGCUCUUUUACCAGGGAUGAUAAUGACAGUACCUGGAGAAUAAGCUCCGGCUAACUCCGUGCCAGCAGCCGCGGUAAUACGGAGGGAGCUAGCGUUGUUCGGAAUUACUGGGCGUAAAGCGCGCGUAGGCGGCUAUUCAAGUCAGAGGUGAAAUCCCGGAGCUCAACUCCGGAACUGCCUUUGAAACUAGAUAGCUAGAAUCUUGGAGAGGCGAGUGGAAUUCCGAGUGUAGAGGUGAAAUUCGUAGAUAUUCGGAAGAACACCAGUGGCGAAGGCGACUCGCUGGACAAGUAUUGACGCUGAGGUGCGAAAGCGUGGG